AGUGAACGCUGGCGGCGUGCUUAACACAUGCAAGUCGAGCGAAGUAUAAAUUGUAGCAAUACAGUUUGUACUUAGCGGCAGACGGGUGAGUAACACGUAGACAACUUACCUCAUAGAGGGGGAUAGCCCGCCGAAAGGACGGGGUAAUACCGCGUAAGAUAUUUCCUUGGCAUCUUGGGAAUAAGAAACAUCCGCAAGGAUGGCUAUGAGAGGGGUCUGCGGCCUAUCAGCAGUUGGUGAGGUAACGGCUCACCAAGGCUACGACGGGUAUCCGGCCUGAAAGGGUGAUCGGACACACUGACACUGAGGACACGGGUCAGACUCCUACGGGAGGCAGCAGUGAGGAAUUUUGGACAAUGGGGGAAACCCUNAUCCAGCGACGCCGCGUGAAGGAUGACGGU
rnacentral:rRNA from 1 species